CUAGCUACAGGCUUAACACAUGCAAGUCGAGGGGCAGCAUGGUCUUAGCUUGCUAAGGCCGAUGGCGACCGGCGCACGGGUGAGUAACACGUAUCCAACCUGCCGUCUACUCUUGGACAGCCUUCUGAAAGGAAGAUUAAUACAAGAUGGCAUCAUGAGUCCGCAUGUUCACAUGAUUAAAGGUAUUCCGGUAGACGAUGGGGAUGCGUUCCAUUAGAUAGUAGGCGGGGUAACGGCCCACCUAGUCUUCGAUGGAUAGGGGUUCUGAGAGGAAGGUCCCCCACAUUGGAACUGAGACACGGUCCAAACUCCUACGGGAGGCAGCAGUGAGGAAUAUUGGUCAAUGGGCGAGAGCCUGAACCAGCCAAGUAGCGUGAAGGAUGACUGCCCUAUGGGUUGUAAACUUCUUUUAUAAAGGAAUAAAGUCGGGUAUGGAUACCCGUUUGCAUGUACUUUAUGAAUAAGGAUCGGCUAACUCCGUGCCAGCAGCCGCGGUAAUACGGAGGAUCCGAGCGUUAUCCGGAUUUAUUGGGUUUAAAGGGAGCGUAGAUGGAUGUUUAAGUCAGUUGUGAAAGUUUGCGGCUCAACCGUAAAAUUGCAGUUGAUACUGGAUAUCUUGAGUGCAGUUGAGGCAGGCGGAAUUCGUGGUGUAGCGGUGAAAUGCUUAGAUAUCACGAAGAACUCCGAUUGCGAAGGCAGCCUGCUAAGCUGCAACUGACAUUGAGGCUCGAAAGUGUGGGUAUCAAACAGGAUUAGAUACCCUGGUAGUCCACACGGUAAACGAUGAAUACUCGCUGUUUGCGAUAUACUGCAAGCGGCCAAGCGAAAGCGUUAAGUAUUCCACCUGGGGAGUACGCCGGCAACGGUGAAACUCAAGGGAAUUGACGGGGGCCCGCACAAGCGGAGGAACAUGUGGUUUAAUUCGAUAAUACGCGAGGAACCUUACCCGGGCUUAAAUUGCAGAUGAAUUACGGUGAAAGCCGUAAGCCGCAAGGCAUCUGUGAAGGUGCUGCAUGGUUGUCGUCAGCUCGUGCCGUGAGGUGUCGGCUUAAGUGCCAUAACGAGCGCAACCCUUGUUGUCAGUUACUAACAGGUUCCGCUGAGGACUCUGACAAGACUGCCAUCGUAAGAUGUGAGGAAGGUGGGGAUGACGUCAAAUCAGCACGGCCCUUACGUCCGGGGCUACACACGUGUUACAAUGGGGGGUACAGAGGGCCGCUACCACGCGAGUGGAUGCCAAUCCCCAAAACCUCUCUCAGUUCGGACUGGAGUCUGCAACCCGACUCCACGAAGCUGGAUUCGCUAGUAAUCGCGCAUCAGCCACGGCGCGGUGAAUACGUUCCCGGGCCUUGUACACACCGCCCGUCAAGCCAUGGGAGCCGGGGGUACCUGAAGUGCGUAACCGCGAGGAGCGCCCUAGGGUAAAACUGGUGACUGGGGCUAAAU
rnacentral:rRNA from 1 species